rnacentral:rRNA from 1 species
GCAUAUCAAUAAGCGGAGGAAAAGAAACCACCCGGGAUUGCCCUAGUAACGGCGAGUGAAGCGGCAAGAGCUCAAAUUUGAAAGCUGGCUCCUUCGGGGUCCGCAUUGUAAUUUGCAGAGGAUGCUUCGGGAGCGGUCCCCCAUCUAAGUGCCCUGGAACGGGCCGUCAUAGAGGGUGAGAAUCCCGUCUGGGAUGGGGUGCCCGCGCCCGUGUGAAGCUCCUUCGACGAGUCGAGUUGUUUGGGAAUGCAGCUCUAAUUGGGUGGUAAAUUUCAUCUAAAGCUAAAUAUUGGCCGGAGACCGAUAGCGCACAAGUAGAGUGAUCGAAAGAUGAAAAGCACUUUGAAAAGAGAGUUAAACAGCACGUGAAAUUGUUGAAAGGGAAGCGCUUGCGAUCAGACUCGCCCGCGGGGUUCAGCCGGCAUUCGUGCCGGUGUACUUCCCCGCGGGCGGGCCAGCGUCGGUUUGGGCGGCCGGUCAAAGGCCCCUGGAAUGUAACGCCUCUCGGGGCGUCUUAUAGCCAGGGGUGCCAUGCGGCCUGCCCGGACCGAGGAACGCGCUUCGGCUCGGACGCUGGCAUAAUGGUCGUAAGCGACCCGUCUUGAAACACGGACCAAGGAGUCUAACAUCUACGCGAGUGUUCGGGUGUCAAACCCGUGCGCGCAGUGAAAGCGAACGGAGGUGGGAACCCUUUGGGUGCACCAUCGACCGAUCCUGAUGUCUUCGGAUGGAUUUGAGUAAGAGCGUAGCUGUUGGGACCCGAAAGAUGGUGAACUAUGCCUGAAUAGGGCGAAGCCAGAGGAAACUCUGGUGGAGGCUCGCAGCGGUUCUGACGUGCAAAUCGAUCGUCAAAUUUGGGUAUAGGGGCGAAAGACUAAUCGAACCAUCUAGUAGCUGGUUCCUGCC